AAAAAAACGGUGCUCCCUAAGACGUUAAAGUUGGACCCUGAGUAACACGUGGGCAACCUGCCUGUUAUACUGGGAUAACUUCUCCAAACCGAAGCUAAUACCGGAAAGGAUCUUCUCCUUCAUGGGAGAUGAUGGAAAGAUGGUUUCCGCUAUCGGUUACAGAUGGGCCCGCGGUGCAUUAACUAGUUGGUGAGGUAACGGCUCACCAAGGCAACGAUGCAUAGCCGACCUGAGAGGGUGCUCGGCCACACUGGGACUGAGACACGGCCCAGACUCCUACGGGAGGCAGCAGUAGGGAAUCUUCCGCAAUGGACGAAAGUCUGACGGAGCAACGCCGCGUGAGUGAUGAAGGCUUUCGGGUCGUAAAACUCUGUUGUUAGGGAAGAACAAGUACAAGAGUAACUGCUCGUACCUUGACGGUACCUAACCAGAAAGCCACGGCUAACUACGUGCCAGCAGCCGCGGUAAUACGUAGGUGGCAAGCGUUAUCCGGAAUUAUUGGGCGUAAAGCGCGCGCAGGCGGUUUUCUUAAGUCUGAUGUGAAAGCCCACGGCUCAACCGUGGAGGGUCAUUGGAACUGGGGAACUUGAGUGCAGAAGAGAAAAGCGGAAUUCCACGUGUAGCG
rnacentral:rRNA from 1 species